rnacentral:lncRNA from 1 species
GAGCCUGAAAAAUGUAUAGGAAGAAGGGGUGAGAUUAAAAAAUCCCAGUGAGUAGACAGACAUCAUCAAAAUAAUCUAAAGCCGAGUAAUAUGAGAGAAUUAAAAUAAUUCAUCCCAACCCAUAUAAAUAAUUGGAUUUCAUCCAAUUACUCAACAUGGCUUAUGCACUUUUCAAAAACUUGGCCCUUGCCAAAAAUCCAUUCUCGGGGAUACCCCGCGAAGGCAUCUUACCGAGACUGCCAAGGCUGUUUAUUGUCACACACACAAACACAUUUCACCUAUGACAACACAACCGUUCCUUGGCGUUGGCUGAGUCCCAAUUUCACAUGGUGGCCAGCGUGAAGUGUACUCAAAUCCUACCUCGAGAGUUAUCCUACGCGCUUCUCCAAUCGAGGUAAGCUCAAUAAUUGGGAACCGUGCCCCUCUAAUUAGGCUGGC